rnacentral:tRNA from 1 species
GCCGAUGUGGCGGAAUUGGUAGACGCGGCGGAUUCAAAAUCCGCUCUUAGCAAUAAGGUGCCGGUUCGAGUCCGGCCAUCGGUA